rnacentral:rRNA from 1 species
AAGCCUACGGGGCGCAGCAGUAGGGAAUCUUCCACAAUGGGCGAAAGCCUGGUGGAGCAACGCCGCGUGGGUGAAGAAGGUCUUCGGAUCGUAAAACCCUGUUGUCAGAGAAGAAAGUGCGUGAGAGUAACUGCUCACGUUUCGACGGUAUCUAACCAGAAAGCCACGGCUAACUACGUGCCAGCAGCCGCGGUAAUACGUAGGUGGCAAGCGUUAUCCGUAUUUAUUGGGCGUAAAGGGAACGCAGGCGGUUUUUUAAGUCUGAUGUGAAAGCCUUC